GGGCCGGUCGUCUAGUUUGGUAGGACACUAUCUUGGCAUGGUAGAGGUCGGGGGUUCGAGUCCCCCCCGGUCCA
rnacentral:tRNA from 1 species